rnacentral:rRNA from 1 species
AGUGAACGCUGGCGGUAGGCCUAACACAUGCAAGUCGAACGGCAGCACAGUAAGAGCUUGCUCUUACGGGUGGCGAGUGGCGGACGGGUGAGGAAUACAUCGGAAUCUACUUUUUCGUGGGGGAUAACGUAGGGAAACUUACGCUAAUACCGCAUACGACCUACGGGUGAAAGCAGGGGAUCUUCGGGCCUUGCGCGAUUGAAUGAGCCGAUGUCGGAUUAGCUAGUUGGCGGGGUAAAGGCCCACCAAGGCGACGAUCCGAAGCUGGUCUGAGAGGAUGAUCAGCCACACUGGAACUGAGACACGGUCCAGACUCCUACGGGAGGCAGCAGUGGGGAAUAUUGGACAAUGGGCGCAAGCCUGAUCCAGCCAUACCGCGUGGGUGAAGAAGGCCUUCGGGUUGUAAAGCCCUUUUGUUGGGAAAGAAAAGCAGCAGGUUAAUACCCCGCUGUUCUGACGGUACCCAAAGAAUAAGCACCGGCUAACUUCGUG